CCUACGGGAGGCUGCAGUGGGGAAUAUUGGACAAUGGGGGCAACCCUGAUCCAGCCAUGCCGCGUGUGUGAAGAAGGCCCUCGGGGUGGAAAGCACUUUCAGGGAGGAAGAACGCCUGGUGGUUAAUACCCAUCAGGAAAGACAUCACUCACAGAAGAAGCACCGGCUAACUCCGUGCCAGCAGCCGCGGUAAUACGGAGGGUGCGAGCGUUAAUCGGAAUUACUGGGCGUAAAGCGCGCGUAGGUGGCUUGAUAAGCCGGUUGUGAAAGCCCCGGGCUCAACCUGGGAACGGCAUCCGGAACUGUCAAGCUAGAGUGCAGGCGAGGAAGGUAGAAUUCCCGGUGUAGCGGUGAAAUGCGUAGAGAUCGGGAGGAAUACCAGUGGCGAAGGCGGCCUUCUGGACUGAAACUGACACUGAGGUGCGAAAGCGUGGGUAGCAAACAGGAUUAGAUACCCUUGUAGUC
rnacentral:rRNA from 1 species